rnacentral:rRNA from 1 species
UACGGAGGAUGCAAGCGUUAUCCGGAAUGAUUGGGCGUAAAGCGUCCGCAGGUGGCUGUGUAAGUCUGCUGUUAAAGAGUGAGGCUCAACCUCAUAAAGGCAGUGGAAACUACAUGGCUAGAGUGCGUUCGGGGCAGAGGGAAUUCCUGGUGUAGCGGUGAAAUGCGUAGAGAUCAGGAAGAACACCGGUGGCGAAAGCGCCCUGCUAGGCCGCAACUGACACUGAGGGACGAAAGCUAGGGGAGCGAAUGGG